GAAUAUAACAAUAAAAAUAUUUCCGAACAAUACAUUUUUAAGACAUAAAUAACAAUAGGUUAUAAAAAUAUAAGAAAAAAACAACUAUUGAAAGUUUGCUAUUUCAGGAUAGAUCCAUGAAAGAUAAAUAGAAUAAGAAAAAGUGGAGGAGGGAAAAAAAAAAAAUCUAUUGGAGGAGAAGAGAAAUUUGAAACUAGUUAAUGACGGAGAUUAUCGAGAAGAGGUGAAAGUUCGAUUUAUUUGUAAAGGUGUUCGACUUCGGAGAAUUCGACAGGCAGUGCCAAACAUUUCUGACAACAAGGAAUGUGUUGAGGCCGCAAAUUCUUUCACGUGACAUCCCUACCGAUGACAAAAAUACAGUUUGAUCCACGUUAAGCCCAACUUCCUGUUCUCCUGCGAUGACAAAUCAGCUUGCUCUUCCUCUUACUAUCCUGCACAAUAGCCAUGCAUUGACAAUUUACAUUCUUUACAACCUUUAGUUGCAAAAGUCUAUUUACUUAAAGACGUUCGUCACGAAGAGACAUAAAUCUAUCUGCGGCUCCUUAUCUAUUGCACCUCGUUUUUUAUUAACUGUAUAAAAACCACAAAUUAUUAAUUACUUUUUGAUUAAAGCGUGAA